CGCGUAGGCGGUCCAGUUAGUCGGAUGUGAAAGCCCUGGGCUCAACCCAGGAAGUGCAUCCGAAACUGCUGGACUUGAGUACGGGAGAGGGAAGUGGAAUUCCUGGUGUAGGGGUGAAAUCCGUAGAUAUCAGGAGGAACACCGGUGGCGAAGGCGACUUCCUGGACCGAUACUGACGCUGAGGCGCGAAAGCGUGGGGAGCAAACAGGAUUAGAUACCCUGGUAGUCCACGCCGUAAACGGUGGGCACUAGGUGUAGCGGGUAUUGACCCCGCUGUGCCGUAGCUAACGCAUUAAGUGCCCCGCCUGGGGAUUACGGCCGCAAGGUUGAA
rnacentral:rRNA from 1 species